UCUCAUCGGUCUUCUUGUGGAUUAAGCCCAUUCAUUGCGUAUUGUUAUGUAUCGGGCCAGACCACAGCCUUCUCUUUUCUGUCCUCUACAGUGGAGUCUGCACUGGUGCUUAAUAGUCGUCCGAUUCAGUGCAGAUUUAUUAUUGAAUUGUUGGAUUCAACCUCAUUGUAACCCCUCAAUAAAACCCCUCAUUUUAGAAGCUCCCUGUCUUCUAUGAUAUUUGGGCCCUUCACUAUUUGAGUUUUGAGCCCUGCUUGCAAUCACUAGCUUGGCCUUUGAUAGAACAUACAAGGGCAUCAUUAAAGGUUGCACAAUGAGGAA